AUAAACACUGGCAAGUAUGGACCCGGAUGCCUUCUUGAUUGUCACUGUAACUGUACUGAAUGUAGGCCAUCGGAGGGUUGUAACGAAGGCGCCACUUGUCUUUCUGGUUACACUGGAACGCAUUGUCUAGAGAGGGAUCAGAAUGUUGAGUGCCCUGAUGGAUUUUAUGGCCCACAAUGCACCAAAAUAUGUCAUUGCCGAAGCUCGUCGAAAUGUGAUCGACAUAAUGGAAAUUGCCAUGAUAUGGUAAUGUUUGUGAAGACGGAUGGGCCGGAUUAGGAUGCCAGCAAGUUCUUCCCGUCCUGAGUGAUGCUCCACAUGUGAGAAUGUUUCUAAAUACCUGUAAUGUCGAGAUUAGUUGGUCAAUCUGGAGUCUGGACAAUGAUUACGGCCGUGGAACCGUCAACAGUUACCAGCUGGAAUUCUGGCCAGAUAGUCACAUCAGUGAUUCAGUUGUUUUAAAUACCACAAUGGACACGGAAAUGAAUAUAUCGCGGGCACAAAUGAACUAUAACACAGAAUAUAGUUUUACAGUAAAGGUUGUUACUGAGGUUGAUGGUGUGUUAGUGGUUGGAAAACCUAGUCCACUGGCAGUUGAGAUAUGUAAGUAUUAUAACACCUAGAAGGUAUACCUCCUUUAUUUCCUUGGUAACACCGGCCUUAAUAUUUUAAGACAAUUAUUUAUUUAUUUCGUAGGAGUGGU